rnacentral:lncRNA from 1 species
CCUAAAGCAACAAGGACGAGGGAACUCUAUAAAAACAACAGGAAUUACAAGUAAAUCUACUAAUCGUCUGCAGCUUCUUACUGAAUCUCCGAACCUGUGUCACUGAAAGGGUGGAAGAUUUGGGGUGAGAACAAACCACACGUUCUCAGUAGGGAAUGGGAAUGCCGUAAAAGUAAUGGAAUAAAAUGCAAAUAAUUAAUUUUACUCAAUAAAACUUUAUUUUUAUCGAACCCUUUGAAAAUACUCUUGUUCUACUUUAGCUAACAAAUUACCUCUUUUUAAAAAAAUCUCUAAACUCAAAUCAAAUUUUAAAUAUAAAAACUAGUCACAUUUUCUGUCUCUCAGCCACAUAGUUAAUCCUCAGUCAAAUGUCAACUCGUAAUCACUUUAAUACACUCACAAACAAGUAGUGCAAGCAAGAGAUUCAAUUCAAUGUACAAGCAAGUCACAACAAGACAAACAGUACAAUCACAAAGUAAUAAGACAAGCAAGCGCAAUCAAAUGCAAAUGUGCAAACAACAUGAUGCAUGUCUAUCCCUAACGUAGGCCAUGAGCUCAUGUGUCAGUUGCCUACCCGCUCCCGACAUUACCCAGGCACAAGUCCCAGGUAUGGCUUUUCAGAUGCAUCAGUGUGCUUACAAGUCGUACGGCCAGGCCGCAUACAGUGUGACUUCAAGUCGUACGGCUAGGCCGCAUACAGUGUGACUUUCCAAAUCAAUAAGCGUACAUCUGGAAAACAGUUCUCAGUGUGUGGGCGUCACCACUUUACAUUGGCACUAAGGCCCAAACAAUAUCACAUCUGUUCUCCUGUGACAGACAUUUCAUUAAUUAAUAUAUUCUUUAAAUCCUUGUUCUCUGCUCUCCUGUGGCAGAGAUUCAUUUUCUUAAUAAACCGAGCUCAAAUCUUUACUUAAAACAAAAUCUCUCCUUAAAAGAUUGGGUUUAAAACAUUAUAUUUUUCUUAAUAAAUCAAACUUUAAAAUAGAGUAAAUCUUUUCUUAACUAAAUAUAUUUUAAAUAAUUUAAUUUUCUAAAACCAAAUCUUUUAAAAUAACUUUUCAAAUAAAACCUCAGAUUUUAUAAAAUUUCGACGGCAUUUUCUCUAAAAUUCAGUCUAAACCACCCUUACGGGUUCCCUAUUCCUCAACAAUUCACCAGCCUUUUUCUCAACAAUUCUUAAAUCAGCGAAAUUCUUAAUAAUCAGAAAACAGUCACAUUCACAGCAAUAAUCCAUACUCAAUAACAUUACUAUUAUUAAUAUAUAUAUAUAUAUAUUUGCAAUUAUUCAAUUAAUUUUGUAGGCAUUCUAAAUUAAAAACGUUUAUCUUUAAAAAUAAAUCCCCUACCUUCGUACGUAAUCGAAAUACUCAAAAUUUCGGAGAAACUUUCUGACCGAGCUGCUGAAAGGAAAAACGUCUGGAAUCCUCCGUGCCUCGUAGAACUCCAGUUGGCCAAGCUCAAGGGGUAGGAGAGCUACGUCACCGUCGACUUCCACCGGACAAAAGUAACGCCAACACGUAAAGGAGGAAGAUACGAACACUUUUACCGGAUUAGAUUUUUU